GAUUUCUGGCUUGGCAUGCUUAACCCGCCGGCUCUGCUGUGUGUGUGCUAAGCGUGUCUGCCAUCCUUCUAGAGAACGGUUUCGCCAUUUACUUGGAUGACUCCGCAAUCUAGAUCUUUUACUUUGAAAAAAUUAGAGUGUUUAAAGCAGGCUUUUGCUAUGAAUACAUUAGCAUGGAAUAAUAAUUUAGGACUUCGGUUCUAUUUUGUUGGUUUCUAGGACUGAAGUAAUGAUUGAUAGGGAUAGUUGGGGGUGCUAGUAUUCAGAGGCCAGAGGUGAAAUUCUCGGAUUCUCUGAAGACUAACUUAAGCGAAAGCAUU
rnacentral:rRNA from 1 species